ensembl:lncRNA
CUAAUGCAUAUGAAAUACUAUACUUUAAAUCACAGAAAUCAGUAAAGUAUCAGGAAAGCAGUUGACGCAGGCAUUUAAAAUGUAUCAGAGAAAUCACAGAAUCAUAGAAUCAUAAAAUGGAAUGUAGAAGUGUACACAAAAUUGUGAUGGUUUUAUGAUUUUUGGUUAUCAGUAUUCCACAUCACAACAUCAUGCAGUGUACUGGGAGUUAAAGAGCAAAUGCUUUAGUUCUGGGUACCUGUCUGGAAGAGAAGAACUACGUUCCCCAAGAGCGUUUUCGAGUACUGUUAUCAUUCCUGCUUAGGGGAACAGAUAUAAGGGUGCAGGUCAUCUGACUCGCUGCCCUCUUCUCGUCUCGCCGUGCUCCCUGUCAGAUUGGCUCAUUACUGCUGCUCCUGACUGCACGCAAGGCUUCAGUACUAGUGAGGAAAUAAGGAAAGCUUUGAGUUGAAAGGAGUGGCAGGAGGAAAAAAACCUGAAAAGGAGACAUUCUGGAAUAUGAAACUGUUUUCUCAAUUUCCAGGAAGAGAUUCAGGAAUGAGCUCGUCAAAGUAGCUAAGAGAGAUGGAUUGGGAAGAAAGCAGAAAGAAGACACUUCUGGACGAAUAAAUAUACCUCAGAGUGCUCACUAGAAUUCACAUGGCUUCCAGACUUAAAGAUUUCUUACGUUCUUUGAGUACAAUGUUCCUUAAGCACACUUCAAGGCCUCACAGGUGCCACUGUCCUACAGCAGCACAGUGCAGCACUGAGAUACUCCUCAUAACCUCAUCCUGACCAGCUUUCCAACUCUGCAUCCCAGCAAUGUCAACCUUUGUCGCACCACUCUGCUUGCCAAGUUUUAGGUAGUUUCUAACACAGUUUAUGGUGGGUUCCUUUGUUGAUAAAUAUAUCUGUAUUUGAAUAUUUAUGAAUACAUCAUACUUAUGGAACAUGUCAUUCCUGAAAUGAAACUAUACUUCACUGUACUAACUGGAAAGAACAAAGUUGGACUCCUUUUUGGAAAAAUUCACCCCAGCUAUUUAUUACCAUGGAUCUGUGAUGAAAUGUCAGUGGGAACAGUGCUUUACAAACUUUUCCAACAAAAGUAGCCAACAAUAUGCUUUUUGUCUCUUAUCUGAAAUACACACAUAGGAGGGUAAAAACCAUAUUUAAAUCUAUCAAGUAAGAGUACAUCUUUGUAUGAGUCUUCUAAUAGCUUAAAUGUAAAUACCUUUGGCUCUUAGGAGUUAAUUUUUUAAUUAACACUAACAGCAUGGUUUGAUCCAAGACACCAUGAUUUUUGUAUAUGUAUUUUUUAAUUAGUUUGACUUGUUUUUCAGAUGUCUUAUUUUUCAGUUUUCAAAGACUUGAAAAUUAUAUCAAGGCUUUCAUCUUAACUCUUAAACUGCUAGCUGUUUAAAACACAUCUAAAACAGUUUAAAGAGGCUUAAAAACUCUUCAAUGACAGAAACCUGAGCUGCUUGCUCCAAAUACCACUGUGAGAGACAGUAAAGGGAAGUGUAGUAGCACCUCUUUCAUUUGCUGGGAGAAAUGUCACAGUUUUCAGAUUGUCUGAAACAUCAAGAAAGGUGAAUGUGGAAAGUGCUCAUAUAAUUGGUAGGAAUCACUAAUAUGUAGAAGUGCAUGAGCAUUAUUAAACUUCAGGGAAAACUUAGGUACAAUGAACCUGUAAGAGACAUUCCAUCACAUUCAGUGAUAAUGAAAGACUAGACAUUACUCACAAACUUUUAUUCUAUAGAGAAGGAAUCAAUAAUUAGGAAGCUUGGAAAAGGAUCUUACUUUUUUUUCAUUUUCCUAUUUUUUUUCCUUUCUUAGCUUUAGCAAUGAGGAGAAAAUCCAUAUGUGAUUUUACAUUGAGGCAUCUAAAUUAAGGAUUUCUAACUUUAUUAUAUAGGCAAUUACUUCAGUCACAAAGGUAUAUAUUCACCUAAUGUUCUGAGCAGAUACUGUCUUUAGUAAACCAAAUUUGAAAAGAUGACAGAUUUCCUUUUGUAUAUCUUUUAUAGAAACCUGACCUGCACACUAUGUAGAUGCUGGAAAACCUGAGGAAAUAAUGACAUAUGGCUGAUUGCCAAUUCCACUGACUCAACUCAUUGUAAUGUUGAGCCUUAUGUAGAAGCCUAUGGCGCAGCGACAGAAUUGCUUUCAGCUUUGCAAGAACAACAUAAACAGACCUAUGGGCUGAGACUAUAAAGUGCACAGAAGAACUGUAAACAACUUGACUUUAAGAAUCCCAGCUGAAUAACAUACUAUGUUCUACUACAGUUACAGUGCUAGAUCUCAUGAUUGUAACCUUCACAAAGGAUGAAAGUGACUGAGAAAGUUAGUGCACGGUGCACAGUUCUUUCUGUAUCAAACAUACAGAAGGAAAAACUGUCAGUUUGAAAGCAAAGAGAAAUCUCCUUGUCACUUAAAUAAACAAAUAAUAUUAAUUAAAAAAGCAGAAACCAAAAAAACCUUAUAUAUACUGUAAAUACUUACACUACUCAGAAAAGCAUCCUCCUAUGCAAAUCAAAGCAAGUAAAAAAACUCACUCAGAUCUUGUGUUUUCUGACCCCAGGGGUCAAAAUGGUUGAUGCUUCCUCAAGAAUUCAAGACAGCAAAGGACUGCACAAGAUGUGUAUUUGUCUUCUGUUGGUAACUGUUUUUGUUUGAAAGCAUAAGCACAACAAUUUGUACAGUGGUACACAAUAUUUUUAGUAAGUGUAACGGUAAUAUAAUGCAUCACAAAUAGGUAACACCCUCAAAGCCAUUUCUUAAGACAGUACUGAAAUGUGUCUACUUUUCUUAGUUUUCUCUAAACAUUAUGAAACACAUCUGUAAACAAUAUUGCAUCUCAGAAUUAUUUAAUGAUUCAUCAUAUAUGGAAGGAAUGAUGAAUAAAGCACUUAACGUUUAGGAAAAUGUCUUCUUCAUUGUUCUUAGUAUCAAAAUAUAAUUGCUAUUGUUGCAAAUAUUUCAGUUGAAAAUACUGAUUUUGAAAAGCACUUAAUGUGACCUGCAUGUUUAUCUUACUGUGCCUGCCUGCAGAUUGAGACAGCAGCUUAAAGAAAGCACUCAGGUGUCCUGGGCCAGGCAGUAUCAAUGUGCAUCCAUCAAAAGAGAAUGUUUCCAGAUAUGAUUACUGAAGCCUAAUGCAACAAAAUUUUGAUUCCAAAGAAGAAAAUAUAAGCUGCAACGUACUUCACAUAGUGAAAUUCUUCAAACAACCUGAAAUAACAAAGAUCCAUUACUAGAACAAGGCAAGAUUUUUUUCUGGUUGAAAAGUACCAGAUCAGGUAAAUUAAAUUUCACAGUGGAAAUUUAGUAUUUUCAAUGGUACAUCUGAAAAAAGGUUUUUUUUUAAUGGGGAAAAAUAUUUUGGCCAAAUGUGAAAAAGAAAGGAGUCUGGUGGUUAUGAUGCAUGCCUAAGGUAUGAUAUGCAAGCUGAAAUUCCUUCUGUCAGCAUCAUAGUACAUUCCUAAAUCAUGUCUUGUCUAAGUGCCCUAGUCAUUAGCUCAUUUGUACAUAUGCUUCCUUCUCUCUAAAGCUUUGUAAUGUGUUCUGCACUUUGUUCACAGUGGAAAAAGAAAACAUCCAUCUCAGUGUUUUGCAGUCUGGAAAAGCUGUUUCCCAUCUAGAUCCAUUUGAAAUCAAGUAUUUUAUUUAUCCUUAAUAAAAAGUUCUUUUCUUGAAGGUCUUGAAACAUGAUGAAAUUUAGAGAAAUCUUCAGGUUUUAUUCCAUUCUUUCACGUCCUAAUAAGAACUGACCCAUAGCUGCUUGUUUUUAGUAUGUUAUUAGUCCGAAAUAGAGUACUUUGAUCAGCUCUGAGAGCCUUACAUAGAGCCCCAUGGAAAAUGGAAUAAGCCCUAAGGUGCAACUCACUUUACUGAAUAAUGUCCAACUGGAGCUUUCAGUUCAUAGCCAUGCAAACUCUGGGCAGAGAAGUUGUGGGUUUGAUGCACCAAACCCCAUCUCUCCACAACCACUGGCUUUUGGCAGAUCAUAUAUUGAUUGGAAAUUUACUUUACAGUUCAUAGACCUGUUAUUCCCAUAAAUUCUGGACAAUGUUUCCAGCUGAGCUGUUGUCUGAGUUUAGAUUCUUCAGAGCUGUAGCUCUGAAUAUAUAUAUACACAAAUAUACACUGUUAGGAUCAGGGAAUACAUGCCUUGCAAUUGCCAGUCUUAUAGGCUUUUGCCUGCAGUUUAUAUGUAAUUAUUGAGAAACUGAUAGCUUAACUGCUUGAUAUAAUACCAGAUAAGUUGUUCUAUUUCUUUCUUUUUGGAUUUUUCAUUUUUUCCAGGAAGAAUUAAGUGCCUUUUUUUUUUUUUUUUCUUUUUUUUUUUUUUCCAAGGAACUGUGAAUAUAUUAAAAGUAUCAUUUGUUCAGUCCUGUUGGAAACACAAUGGUAAUGUUUGUACUGGGAAACUGAACAGUUCAGGCAUGGGUUCAAGCACUCUCUGUGAUUGACUAUACUGUUAAUUGUUAGCAUGAUCCCUAACUUGGUUUCGAUCUGUGCCAACUGUGUUUGGGCAUAGUUAGAGGGCCACCAGGGACAGCAGAUCAUUCCUAAUAGGCCAUUUGGACUGUUCUGUUCUAGUCUGUUCUAGGAGGGAAGAGAGCUUAGCUCUUUCAAUUGAUAUGAGCAGUGCAGUGCCAGCUGGCCUCAGGUCUGCAGAAAGAUCCACGGAUCAUUUAAUUUACUGGUGUAGAUGUAGCCAGUAGAAGUAUGGCCAGCAGAAAAAAAAAAAAAAAAAAGAAAAGAAAAAAAGAAAAGAAAAGGGAGAAAAAAGGUUUCAGCAGUCAGUGUUUUCAGCUUAACAUCUCCUGCACUCUGAACCAUCUUUUUCCUAGAUUUGCAUAAAAGCUUAUUUUCUUGAAAAUAAAACGUUGAGGUUAGAAAUAAUAAUCUUUGCCCUUCUGAUUUAAGAUAUCCAAGCAAGGAAGCUCUCUAGGGAAGCAUUUUUAUGGUGCUCUGAGUGAUUUUAUUCUUAUCUAUUUAAUUAUCUUCACUCAUAAUAAACUCUGCUUUGCAACAGGAGGUAGUGCUCUGCCUUAUUCUAAUUAAUGAAUCAGUUAGUGGACAACCUGCAGAGCCAGAAUAUGCUUAUUUAGAGACAUUCUCAUUGAUUUGAUGAAAUCUGCUGAUUCUGUUCAAGCUAUCCACUAUUUGGACCAAUAAAAUAGAACAGCCCUUCCAGACAGAAACCAAUGAACACCGUUGGUAAAGCAUGUGUUGGAAACAACUGUUUCUCUAAAUCUGAAAAAGGGUAGCCCUCAAAAUGAUGCAUCUUUAAAGAAUUUUCAUGAAUAAUACAUUAGAGAAUGAAGAAGAUACCUAUGAUUUUGAAUUAGAACAUGAUUCUAAUACAUAGCCUGCACAUAUCUUUCUUCCAUGAUCAAUAUAUUUUUUGUGUAUAGAGAAGUAAUGAUUCUGGUAUCCUGAAAGACUGUAAUAUCAAGCUGAAUGUGUGGUAACUGCAGAUAAUAAACAGCAAAGAGUCUACAGCAUUGGCAAGCAGUCAAAAAUUUGGGUGCCUACAUUUUGAAUAUCGUGGGUAAUAGGGAACUCUCUCAAGAUUGCUCUAGUCAGAUAUCACUCAGAAUAUGGAACUCAAUUAAUGAUGCACGUAAAACACAAGAUGAAAAGUCAGAGAGAUAAGAUAACUUAUGAACAGCAAAUAGCAGAUGGAGAAAAAUAAAUAAACUGUAAACAAGGAGGCGUCUAGGGAAUUAAUUGGUAGGUUUGUAUGAAUAUCAGAGAAUAGCAAUUAAAAAGAAUACUGCAGAAAAAAAUAAAGGAUUUCUACUGUUACAGAAGAACAUCCCUCAAAAACUAAUAAAGAUCAGGUACUAUCAGAAAAAAAGACACUUGGAAAAAUUGAUAAACUGAUGAGAAGCAACAGUACUGAAGAGCAAAAGUAUUUGAGUCCUUGAGCCUAAGACUGAAGGCAAUGAGUAUAUAACAAGAGUUUGCACUGUCUCUUUAAAGUUUGCACUGUCUCUUUAAAGUCUUAUUCAGUUUUCAGUCUUUAAGCCUGUGAGUAUUUCAGGUAGUGAAAUUUAUCUAUCUGCCCACAUAAGAUUGUUUUGAGGGAGAUCUUGGACACUGAACAAUGACAAGUACUCUUUAGAUAACAGGUAUGUUGGUUGAAAUAAUAUUUAAAAUAUAAUUUAUAAAAUUGCCUGGUGUGAGCAAGAUAAAAAAUCCAGACUUCACACGAGUACAGUGUGUUUUUGAUCUUAAAGAUUUGCCAAUGUGUAAAUAAAAAACUAAGCUAAGCAUGUCUGGUAACACUUUAUCUGGUUUUCAAUCCUACUUAGGAAGAGAUUAGGGAAGCUAAGCAGUGAUUUGUUUACUGGAAAAGUGUCAUAAUUUAAAGCUCUGGUAGGAGAUAGAAAAGAAGUACAAAUUUCAUCAAGAAAGGGGAAAAGAAAAAAGAAAAAAAAAAGUUGAGUUCUCUAACCUUUUAAUUUCUCUUACAUAGAGCUAAACAUAUUGAUGUAACAGGAAGGCAUAACAGGGUGACAAGUCUGUAUGUAUGACGGGUACGAAAAUUAAUCUACUCAGGAAAACCCUGAAAGACCUAAGAAUAUAAGAACAGUUAUGAUGGAUCUGAUCAUUAAUAAUCUUCAUCCAGUAACUUAAUUCUAAUAACGAACGUUUAGGAAAAGUCCAUACUAAGAAGAAAGGAAAACAUUAAGACUUCCUUUGCAUAUAAUAAAUUCAGGGAAUCUAAUGAGUUGAACGUACAGCUUGGUGACACGUGAAAUUCAAUAAAUGCUAUCUAAUACAUAUUCCUGUAAAUAAUUUGAUUUGUACAAAUUAGUGGGUUCCAAAUUAACUGAAGCAUCUCUGAGGGAAAUUAUAUAUAUAAAACUGGGGAAUAAAUGUGAAAUAUACACACAUAUAUAUAUAUAUAAAUAUAUAAUAUUUCUGGAGUAACGGAGAGAUUCCAAGAGUUACUGUAUUGGAGGCUGAAGUGAGCCUAACUGGAAAUGAGAGGCAAAAGCAGCCCAUGGUGACUGACCCAAAGGGUCUGUGCAUCCUUGGUAUAGAUUAUCUCAAGACAGGGUACUUUACAGAUCCAAAACAGUAUUGGUGGGCUUUUGAUAUAGUUGCCUUGGAAAUGGAGGACAUUAAACAGCUAUUUACCUUGCCUGGUCUUUCAUAAGACCCUUCAGUUGAGUAGUUGCUAAGAAUAUAUAUACACAUAUAACAUAUAUGUAUAUGCACAUGUGUACUUUAUGAUAUUGGCCCAUGAAGUCGUAGGCAGAUGUUGGUGGGAUGGCAGCAGACGGUGAUCCUUCCCACCAAUAUUCCACUACAUUAAGUUGCCACAUGACAGAUGACAAUGAAAGAUGGGCUGUGUGGGCAACAUUUUCCAAGCAGCUAUGCCACUGUAGCAGCUGUGAACUAGUGGCUCACCUCCACUAGUGCAGAUUUUUAUGAGUGCAGCAUGCAGGCUCUUGUUCAUUGCUGGCAAAAAGGCACAGCUGGUAGUGGUGACUAUGUUAAAAAAUAGUGUUUAGCCAAUAGUUGAGAAUUUGCUUUAUCAAAUAAUACCGUUGUGCUCUUAGUAUCUGUUGUAGUUUCCAUGGGAAUUGAUAGGAGGUGCUACAUUUGGAGUAAUCUAAGCAUGUGUGUGUAUGUAUAUUAUAUUUUUUUAUAUAUAUCUACAUAAACUUGGGAACCAAUUUGAACUCAUUAUUUGCUAUGGCUCUACUACCUGUGUGUAUUGGAACAGAGCUUGUAGAUGCUGACUAGGCCUCUACUGUGCUCAUGCAAAAUCUCUCUAGCCUGAAAGGCCUUGCAAACCAAGUGUAACAACAGACAGGCAGAUGUGGGAGAACAAGGAAACAAUGAAGCAAUAUUGAUUGGAAGGAUAAGCAGAGGUGUCAGAUUAAUUGACCUUUGCACAUUGUGCCAUUGCGCAUUGGUGGUCAGAAAGGAAACAACAUGUUAGCGUGUAUAAUGCCAUUACACGAAUCAAUGAUUUCUAAUCUUCCUGUCUCAAAGGUUGGAGUAAAACCAAAAGGAAUUUAGAGCUAGAGGACAGAAAUUAUUCAAAAACAAAACAAAACAAAACAAAAAACCAGAAAUGUGGGAUUCAGAGGCUGGUAAUAGUUAAAUUAGAUGGAGAAAUGUUGUUUCAAUAUGUGUACAUAUUAAUGACAGGCAAAGUUGAUGUCAAGUAGAUGUCCCUAAUUAGCUGUUCUACUUACGUAGAACAUAGCAGACAAAUAAAAACACAUUUAAAUUGUAAUUUUCCUCACACGCUGGAUACUUAUGAAAUAUCUGUUGUCUGAUGUAACUUCAGUCACAUUCAAACUGGAACUGCAGGUUAAUCUGGAUAAUGACGUGUAAAUGUAAUUUUCUUCUUUUAAUGGAAUGCACAUCUCUGUGUAGAUAGACACUGACAAGUCACUAGCUCAUGAAGAAUAGGAAAAUAUUUUCCUCAUGGAUAGUUUAGUCUGUAAUUGUUCAGCACUUGGUUUCUCGCUGCUGUAGCUGAAGCACUUACUGCUAACUACCCACUGUGACAAACAGGACACUGUGUUAGAUAGGUAUGAUCUAGAGCAGCAAUUGCUGUGACCUUUAAUGGGAAACUCUAAAGUAUAAGAACUGUGAUUAUAAUGUAUAUCUAUAAAUAAUUGGCAACAUUUUGCUUUUAGUGAGCAUCUGGUUCUCAGUUCUUGCUCAGCAUGUGAGAGUAGAUGCAGUAGGACUGAUAGGAGCAUUUUCAGGGAUGUCUUUCCUUGUCUCUCCUCUAGUUCUGAGGAAGAGAAGAGGGGAAGGGAAAACAGCAAUGUUAAACUGAAUUAGCUACAAAUGGUUCAGCUAACUUCAAGAACAAUUAGAAAUUGCACAAUGAAUAAUUCAGUGUUUUGUCACUUCAGGGGCUUCCUUUUCUGCCUUUAUAAUUCAGAGCCCUUCCUUCCCUCCCCCUUCUUGUUAAGUAGAAAUUCUAGACGGAGAGGCAAUCUCCAGAGACUGCCUGCCCCAUUAACAUGCAGGUGGCAUUUCUAAGGGGCUCGCAGGAUGUCUCCAGCUGGAAGCAUGUUGACUGCACGCACGUGGGACCUCUGUGCUUUACAAGUCCUGGCGACCCUCACGCAAAUGCAGUUCAUAAGAAGGGAUUUCCUUUUAAAAAGUGUUUUUUUUUUUCUUGCUUUCUUAUUCCUUGCAUUGUUUGGGGAAUGACAUGUAAUAUGAAAUUAAAGGCAAAUAGUAUUUUCUAAUAAUCCUGAAGAGCUAAUAAAUCACUGCAGUGCUUCUUUAUCUUUUUCCCCCCUCCUUUUUUUUUUUUUUUUUUUUUUCUUUUCCUUUUUCCCCCUCCAUCCGGGAAAACUGUUACUCUGUAACAAUAGAGUCUGAUUAAAGACAGGAAAAAACGAGUAAGAGAUAAGUGGGCAGACAGGCACAUGCUAUAAGCACAACAAUUUUCUAGCACUUUCUGUGAGGAGCUGAAGACCUCUUGCUGUCCUUCAAAGGAAAUUGCAGGCAUUCAGUGCUGUUUACAUGUACAAACAAACAACAACAACAACAAAAAACCCUUCCGCACAAAAAACCUUCUCUGCUCUUACUGCCACUGUCAAUAUGAGCACUGCAUUCUGGUGACAAAAUAUUGCACGAAGAAAACCUGUACUGGAAGAAAAGCUUCAAAACAGGCUUCCAAGGACAGCAUGUUGUUCCAGCUCAGAAUAGAACUGUGCUUUUAAAAAGUCAGGGUUUUCAUGUCAGUGUAUUUAUAGUGCCAUGAUUUAUUAUUGCAGUGUUAGAAUUUAUUUACACAACACUAUAAAUUAAGAUAUAAGGGAAUAAUUAAUACAGUCAAAUGAAUACUACUAUAGAUGUUUCUUUUAUACAUUGUAUAUGAAGUUAGCACAUCUUCUAGCAUGUUUCAAAGAAGUAUUUGGGCCAAAUUAUGAUUUCUAACAAAAAUAACUCAAAAAUCACUGCACCUGUCUGCUGCAAUGGAGAUAUUAAUAAAUGUGUGUUCAGUGCAGUGUUUUUCUGUCCAGGAAAGAAUUACUCUUCCUGCAUUAAGCUCUUUCUGGUAUACUAAUAAAAUGCUCUGCUUUACUGAAUGCCCCUUUAGGACAAUUAUUGCACAGGGAAUAAGAUGCAGGUUCUAGCCCAAUCAGGGCAAAUCUCUUAGCACUCUUUUAGAGUCCUAGCUUUCCAAUGUGCCUUUUUAGCAAGGUACUCGGGGCAAAUUAUCUUUAGCAAAGCACUCAUGGCAAAUACCACAAACUGUGGUUUGCUGAAGUAUGUCAGAGACAUGGUUUCACUAGCUAAAUCUGGAUCACCUCCCUUUUUCCUUCCAGAUGAAAACUCUCACAUAGUGUAUGGUUCUCAACCAAAUAACAGACUUCAUCCCAUUAAAAGCCAUCCACAAAGGAAAGAAAAUUGAUUUUAGUAGAAUAGUCCCCGACAUGUCUGAUUGCUUGGGGGUAGAGUUGGGGGUGGAGUGCAGAAAAAUGGGCAGGAACAUGAUGAAGAGUGGUGUGGAUCAAGGAUUUCAGGUCAGCUUCCAACAUCAGUCAACUGCAUCCUCAGAUUUUUUCUUUUGUACUUUUCCAGCACACCAAGUAAAGGCACAAGAUGAUUAUUGCUUGUAUUCACCAUUGAGCUGAGCCCUAGUUUUCAUUUGAUGAUGGAGUAAAAGUAUUUUGAAUAUACCUUUGUGGCCUGUCAGCACUGUAUUUAGUAAGAUGUCAUUCUAUAUAAAAUGGCCCUCUCCCAUAUUUAGAUGUCUAUCUGUAAAGUGAAGGUGCAUCAGCCAGACAGUAGAGAAUAACAUAUGUUUUAAACAUUUCUUUACUGACAAUUUUGCUGAAUUUUUGUAUUGCAACACUUCUGCAGAUAAGGCUGUAAGAGUAGGUUUUUUCCAUGAACUACAGAUGAAAUUAGUCAUUAGCUGUGACUACCCAAAGCUGUGCACAUUUUUGUUUGCCAGUCAGUAUGCUUGGCUGACUGGCCAAUAGGUACAUGUAUUCUGCUGCCAAAACAAGAUGUAUAACAGAUGAAUUCUGCCUGUUUUUCCCUCCCUGGUUUUCUCCUCUAGUCAGCCAACACUCUUCAUGAAACUUGCAGGAAUUUCAUUAUCUCUGAGACUUCAAAUCCUCUUUCUAGUGUCCUCAAAAUUAAUCUAUAAUGAAAAUGUGGUAGUCUGACAAAUAAAUGUCCAAAAUAAAUCAGUGGUGUAAGCCUUGUGAAACCAGUGUCAAAAUACAGAUUGAAAAGAAAACAUAGGGAAGAGACUUACUUCUAACUGUUGGUGUAUUCUACAUUGCUGCUAAGAAUAUAAAUAUAUUUUUUAUAUGAUUCUUGAAACACCUGAGAGGAAAGGUUUGAGAAGCAAUCUGGCUUUGAAAAGAUAUUCAGUAUCUUUUGUUUUUAGGUAUUACUUCCAUGUUCUUUUUGUUCAUGCAAUUUUAUGAAAGUUCAUCCACUUCCUAGAUCUUCUACUGCAGAUCACUUAACUUCAGGCAAUUAUGACAUUAUUAUGCUAAUAUUGCUUUAAUGUGCUAUUUAUCAACAUUAUAUAAAUAUUUCAUAAGCUAAUUGCCUGAAAUUAUAAGGGCUGUAAAAAUCUUACAAGAGAAGCCCCACAUGAAUAAAGACAGUGUAGUCUGCUCACCUGCUCUGAAAGGUUUUAUGCUCCGUAGCUUGGUUUCCAUAUAUAAUACAGUCUGAGAAAAGAUUUUGUUUCUUCCUACAAAGCCUAUCCUUCUUAUACAUCUACAACUAUUUUGGCUAUAACACUGAUGUCUGAUGACUGACUGUGCAGUCUAAUUCUAAGUUAUGCUACACUUUGUGGGGAAACAGGUUAACUGUUUUCCUGAUUUCCGAGGUUGGGUGUAGCUUAGGAUGGCUAUUGCACCACUUAAAAUUAUUCUAAAGAUGACAAUUUCACAAGAAAACUGCUAUUGAGCUUUCAACUCUAGCCUUAGCAUCUCCUCUAUAUUCCUCCUAUAUAUAUUCCGUGCCAUGUAUGUAUUUUCAAAAAAGCAGCUUCACUCAUUCUUGUAUUGCAACCCACCCUUUGGAUAGGUUAAUCUCGUGGAAGGGAAAAGGUCUCUUAAAAGGCUGGGCAAUCAUCAUCAGGAUAUGUGUACAGACUGAGGGAUGAGAAAUUAGAGAGCACCUCUGUGGAAAGGUAUCUGUGGGUUCUGGUUGAUGUCAAGUUGAACAUGAACCAGCAGUGAGCCCUGGGGUGCAUCAGGUCCAGCAUUGCCAACUGGGUGAGAGAAGUGAUUGUCUUGCUCUCAUCUGCACUGGUGUAGCCUCACCUUGAACAAACUGUGUAGGUUUAAGCACCACAAUAUAAGGACAUAAAACUAUUAACAGGUGUCCAAAGGAGGGCUACAAGGAUGGUGAAGGGUCUAGAGGGCAAGACAAAUGAGGAGCAGCUGAGGUACCUUUGUUUGUUCAGCCUAGAGAAGAGGAGGCUGAGGGGAGACCAGAGGGUUGUCAGGCACUGGAACAGGAUCCUCAGAGUAGUGGUCAUGGCACCAAGCCUGUCAGAGUUCAAGAAGCAUUUGGAUAACUUUCACAGAAAUAUGGUUUGAUUUUGGGUUAUCCUGUGUGGAGCUAGAAAUUGGUGUCAGUGAUCUUUAUGGUUCUCUUCCAACUCAGGAUAUUCUGUGAUUCUACUCUAUGACUCUGUGGUUCUGUGAUUCUUUAUUGUAUUUCUGGUUGUCAGAGGAUAUGUUGGUAUGUAAUCUGUCUUUAAAAUUAAUUAAUAAUUUUCUAGCUCUUCCUUUUUUCUUCUCAUCUACUUUUCUACUCAUCUAUUUUUAUGUAUAUAUUAAUAUCUCUUUACACUCCAUCUUUUUGCCUCAUGUUUGCACCCUGCUCAUUACAAUAGGCCUGGGUGUAGUCUAUGAUAGAUAUAUCAGUCUGUGAAUACAGCAUGGUGAUAGUAGAAAAAGAAGGGUAGGAUAAAAUCAAAACCCUAGUGUUGUUAAAAGAUAGAAAAAUUCUUAUUCAUUUUUCCACAGACAUAUCUACACAUACACAUAUGUAUAUACAUUGUGUAUGUAUAUACAUUAUAUAUUUACUAUUAUAUAUAUAUUACAUAUAUAAGAUAUACGUAUGUAUAUGUAUGUUUGUGUAUGUAAGGGAGAAAAAUAUACUUUAUAUCUUUCACUUUUCCUUGAGAUCAGUUACUGUGAUUCUGAUUUUUCAUUCCAAAGCUGUGUAAACAGAAUCAGUACUGCUGACAGACAGCUGGGAGAAAGACGCUGAGAUCUUCACAGUAAAAUUCAUUUAGACUAAGUGGCUGAACUAAGCAUGUGUUUCAUGAUAUUGGGGAGAAGAGAACAGAAUGUUAUGACUAGCACAUUUCAACAAUCCAUUUUUAGAAAUGCCAAUUGCUUUGAGUUAUGCAGAAAACAGCCCCUCACAGUGCUCAGACCCAAAUCCUGAAUUUGAAAGGUGGCCAUGACUAACAGCUGCCAACAUGUAAUAGGUACAUGGCCAAAAACCCCGGACAGUUUCUCAUGCUACAUAUAACUUGGGGAAAACACCACCCUAGGUUACAUGCCAUGUUACAUGUGUGCACAGUCCAGAUCACUCAUGAAAUACAGAGUGAGGUAUCACAUAACAUUAAUCUGAAAUCCCCUUAAAUUAGACAUGGCACCCAGUGUCUCAGCACAUUCAGAUUCUUAAAGUGGUCCUGGCUUUCCAUAGUUAAGAAUGCUCAAGUUUUAUUCCUUGCCUUUCAAACAAACAGAACUAUUCUUAUUGUAUCACUUGUAGGGUAAUCCUGUCUGUUUGAUGUAAUUUGGUCACAAGCUUCUUAGAUAUGGUUGUCUAGUUUUGCAAUGCUGUUACAGGGAAAAACAAUACAAAUGUAUAAAUUGUAAUGUCUUAUUUCUUAAUCUCAAUGUAGAAUCUUUUUUACUUGUGUUCUGUACAUAUGAUUUUGUUCUUGCAAGCUCUUAGCAAGAUCCUUAACCUUUUUUAUUACUACUGAAUAGUUAGAGGAUAUCUGAAAGAAUGUCAGAGCAACAGCUGCCCUUACAAACUCCAUGGCGAAGGCUGGUUGCUAACAUCUAUGACAAAAGAACUUUUCUCACUAGCCCUGUUGGUCAAUAUAUAAUGGAAGACUUGAAGUAUUUGGUUGAACAGAGCUAGCUGUUCUCAUCUAAACCUAUCCUAUAGGGGAAUGCCUCCUCCUGGAGGCAUUCAAGGCCAAGAUGAAUGUGGCUUUGACAAACCUGGUCUAGUGGGAGGUAUCCCUUCCCAUAGCAGGGGGAUUGGAACUAGACUAUCUUAAAGGACCCUGCCAACUCAAACUAUUCUAUGAUUCUGUGAUUCUAUGACUUGUACUCAGAAACUCACCAAAAGAAGUUCAGAAUGUCUUUGCCCACACC